rnacentral:rRNA from 1 species
GUAGGGGGCAAGCGUUAUCCGGAUUUACUGGGUGUAAAGGGAGCGUAGACGGUAUGGCAAGUCUGAAGUGAAAACCCGCAGCUUAACUGUGGGACUGCUUUGGAAACUGUUAAACUAGAGUGCAGGAGAGGUAAGUGGAAUUCCUAGUGUAGCGGUGAAAUGCGUAGAUAUUAGGAGGAACACCAGCGGCGAAGGCGGCUUACUGGACUGUAACUGACGUUGAGGCUCGAAAGCGUGGGGAGCAAACAGGAUUAGAUACCCUGGUAGUCCACGCGGUAAACGAUGAUUACUAGGUGUUGGGAGGCUGGAGCCUUUCGGUGCCGUCGCAAACGCAAUAAGUAAUCCACCUGGGGAGU